rnacentral:rRNA from 1 species
CAAGCGGUGGAGCAUGUGGUUUAAUUCGAAGACCAACGCGAAAGUAACCUUACCAGGUCUUGACAUCCCGAUGCUAUUUCUAGAGAUAGAAAGUUACUUCGGUACAUCGGUGACAGGUGGUGCAUGGUUGUCGUCAGCUCGUGUCGUGAGAUGUUGGGUUAAGUCCCGCAACGAGCGCAACCCCUAUUGUUAGUUGCCAUCAUUCAGUUGGGCACUCUAGCGAGACUGCCGGUAAUAAACCGGAGGAAGUGGGGAUGACGUCAAAUCAUCAUGCCCCUUAUGACCUGGGCUACACACGUGCUACAAUGGUUGGUACAACGAGUUGCGAGUCGGUGACGGCGAGCUAAUCUCUUAAAGCCAAUCUCAGUUCGGAUUGUAGGCUGCAACUCGUCUACAUGAAGUCGGAAUCGCUAGUAAUCGCGGAUCAGCACGCCGCGGUGAAUACGUUCCCGGGCCUU